CGCGUAGGUGGUAGUGUAAGUCUGGGGUGGAAUCCCAGGGCUUAACCCUGGAACUGCCUUGGAAACUGCAUUACUUGAGUCAGUGAGGGGAGGGUAGAAUUCCUGGUGUAGCGGUGAAAUGCGUAGAUAUCAGGAGGAAGGCCUGUGGCGAAGGCGGCCCUCUGGCGCUGGACUGACACUGAGGCGCGAAAGCGUGGGGAGCAAACAGGAUUAGAUACCCUGGUAGUCCACGCCCUAAACGGUGGGCACUAGGUGUAGGGCUCGUAAGGGUUCUGUGCCGAAGGGAAACCAUUAAGUGCCCCGCCUGGGGGAGUACGGCCGCAAGGUUGAA
rnacentral:rRNA from 1 species